rnacentral:tRNA from 1 species
UAUAAAACCUGUUAAAGAAAACUAAUCAUUUGCAAAAUGAGUAUUAUAAAUCUUUUAAAC